CACGUAGGCGGAUAUUUAAGUCAGGGGUGAAAUCCCAGAGCUCAACUCUGGAACUGCCUUUGAUACUGGGUAUCUUGAGUAUGGAAGAGGUAAGUGGAAUUCCGAGUGUAGAGGUGAAAUUCGUAGAUAUUCGGAGGAACACCAGUGGCGAAGGCGGCUUACUGGUCCAUUACUGACGCUGAGGCGCGAAAGCGUGGGGAGCAAACA
rnacentral:rRNA from 1 species